AUUUGAAUCUCGCGCUGCUGUUCAUCGACAGUGCCGUAGUUAGUAUUGUUGACGUGAGGAAAUAGUCUCUUCGAAAGUAAGAUAAAAUACCAGAAUAUCUAAAAUAUUUUUAUUGCUAUCAAUUUUAUUUCUUAUCGGAGUUUCAGAAAUUUUUGCCGGUGGAUGCGAAGGGAAUUGGUGUCAUCCUUUUCAACGUUACCGAUGCUGUGCGUGGCAUGACUGUACGUCUUACUUCAGCCAGGGUACAUGCUAUCGUGUAAAAAUUUGAAUGAAAAAAAAAAAUAACUAAUUAUUCAUCAGCAGUAAUUUUUAUAUAAGUAAUAUCAGUA